rnacentral:rRNA from 1 species
AUUGAACGCUGGCGGCAUGCUUUACACAUGCAAGUCGAACGGUAACAGGUUAAGCUGACGAGUGGCGAACGGGUGAGUAAUGCAUCGGAACGUGCCCGGUCGUGGGGGAUAACGUAGCGAAAGUUACGCUAAUACCGCAUACGAUCUAAGGAUGAAAGCGGGGGACCGUAAGGCCUCGCGCGAUUGGACCGGCCGAUGUCAGAUUAGGUAGUUGGUGAGGUAAAGGCUCACCAAGCCGACGAUCUGUAGCUGGUCUGAGAGGACGACCAGCCACACUGGGACUGAGACACGGCCCAGACUCCUACGGGAGGCAGCAGUGGGGAAUUUUGGACAAUGGACGCAAGUCUGAUCCAGCCAUUCCGCGUGCAGGACGAAGGCCUUCGGGUUGUAAACUGCUUUUGUACGGAACGAAAAAGCUCUUACUAAUACUAGGAGUCCAUGACGGUACCGUAAGAAUAAGCACCGGCUAACUACGUGCCAGCCGCCGCGGUAA